rnacentral:rRNA from 1 species
AUAUUGGACAAUGGGGGAAACCCUGAUCCAGCCAUGCCGCGUGAGUGACGAAGGCCUUAGGGUUGUAAAGCUCUUUUGGCGGGGACGAUAAUGACGGUACCCGCAGAAUAAGCCCCGGCUAACUUCGUGCCAGCAGCCGCGGUAAUACGAAGGGGGCUAGCGUUGUUCGGAAUCACUGGGCGUAAAGAGCACGUAGGCGGACUUGCUAGUCAGGGGUGAAAUCCCGGGGCUCAACCCCGGAACUGCCCUUGAAACUGUAGGUCUUGAGUCCGAGAGAGGUGAGUGGAAUUCCUAGUGUAGAGGUGAAAUUCGUAGAUAUUAGGAAGAACACCAGUGGCGAAGGCGGCUCACUGGCUCGGUACUGACGCUGAGGUGCGAAAGCGUGGGGAGCAAACAGG